GUUGAGAUCCAAAGAAAAUGAAGAUUCCCCUGGGGAUCCUAAUGGUUGCAGUCUUGUGCUCCGUCGGUGAUCCUGCCCUUAAGAGGAAUGUCUCCUCGGCUCUGGGCCACGGCAACGCCACCAGUGUGGUGAAGGGGACGAUGCUUCCACCUCAUAUUGAGAAAGCGAAAACAACAGCUUUAGGAAGAUUCUGAAGAUCACCUGGCAAGAUAAAGUACCAGAUACUAAGAAAUACACCUCCUCAAGUGCCAUGUGUGCAUGGGCAGCUUCCAGUGCUACUCGCCGCAGCUGUGUCAUCCCUCAGAAAGAUUCUGCAUGAUUGCUGAAACUGUCCAGGAAACCGGACCCAACGUGAUCAAGUACUGUUCAGUCUUUUGCCCAUUUAUCGACAAGUACCAUGGAAGAAGCAUGGAGAACUUGUAUGUUGCCUGUUGUGCUGAGGAUUUGUGCAAUUAUAAAAAACUGGGUACUGGGUCCAGAAUUUGUCCUAGUGUCUCUGUGGUGACAAUGGCAUUUGUAGCAAGUUUCCUUGGAACCCUCAGGAUUGGACUAUUUUAUGCUGGGAUGUGACCUCUGAGACCUUGCUCAUAUCAUGCCCUUCUCAAUUAAUUCUCAGCCAUAUCUCCCAUUAAUCUUCUGUAAAGGAAUUUCCCAGGUCACUGGAAGACUUUCCCAUAGUUCCAGAGAGCCAAUUUGGAUCUCUUCCCUGCAUUAUAUUCUUUUUUUUUUAUUAAAGCUUUUUAUUUUCAAAACAUAUGUAUAGAUAAUUUUUUAACAUUCACCCUUGCAAAAUCUUGUAUUCCAAUUUUUCCCCUCCUUUCCUCUCAUCCUCUUCCCUAGACCUGCCUUAUGUUCUUUAUAUCUCUUUGAGAUGUAUGGAAAGUGCUAUAUAAAUGCUUGUAAGUAUUAUUAUUAACAGG
rnacentral:lncRNA from 1 species